CCCCGAGGGAGAAGCCUCUGAACUGCUCAUUAGCGCGAGCAGGUGAAGUGGAAGCGCCACUCAGCCCACUCCAGGUGCUCAGGCGUUUCAGCUGGACCCGCCUCGGGGAAUCAGGCAGGCUGUUCAGACAGAAAGUCCUGGUUUUCAGUCAAGAGAGAUCUGUACUGGAAGGCAGCAUGUCCAAUGUUUCCUUAAGAAAACCAUCUCCCACAGGAAACGCUAUGAAGAGUUCUACUCAGGGAACAACACAGAGACAACAGGGUUUUCUCGAGGUGAACAAAAGAAGGACUUUCUUACAGGAUAACAGCUGGAUAAAGAACCGUCCUGAACAAGAAAGAGAUGAAAAUUAUGGUCGGGUGGUGCUGAACCGACAUAACUCCCAUGAUGACUUGGAGAGGAAAAUAAAUGAGAUAAAUGAGCUAAAAGCCACAAUUAGCCGGUACAGAUCUGAUGACAGUUUGGACAGGAUCUCAGACAGACAUGAUGCUGCUAAAACAUAUAAGGCCAAAACUUUGGAUAACCAACUAACCAAUAGAAAUAUGUCCGCAUUUAGAUCACCAGAAGCAACAAAAAUGCGACCUGGAGGUUUUGUCAGUCUGAACACCACCAGCACCCUCCCUUCCACCUCUGCUACAACCCCUGUAAAGAAAAAGAGACAGUCCUGGUUUCCACCGCCCCCUCCAGGAUAUAAUGCCUCUCCAAGCACAGGAGCAAGCAGAAGGGAACCAGGUGUUCACCCUCCAAUACCGCCAAAGCCCAGUUCUCCUGUUCUAUCUCCUAACCAGCUGAGACGGGAUAAUAGGCAGAUUUGUCCACCUAAAGCAAGUGUAUAUACAGAAACCAACAGAUCUGCUGAAAGAAAUAUAAGUCGUCAGGAUCUGGAGAACAUUGUCAAAGUGGCUACUUCACUUCAGAGAACUGACAAGGGUGAAGAAUUGGAUAAUAUAAUCAAAAUGAACAAAAGCUUGAAUAGAAAUCAAGGUCUUGAUGGCAUCUUCAGAACAACUCCUAAGGCAGAGCAAAUAGAGAAAAGAGCCCAAAGCCUUGACAGUCUCCUCUUUCUGAAUAGCCGGCCAAACAAAGAUGGCAAAGGAAACCAAACUCUCGGCAGUGUCGUUAAAGAAAACCCCAGAACAGUCAAGAAUGACAAAGGAAACCAAGACCUUGGGAGUUUUAUCCAAGUUAAUCAAAGGGCUGACCAGUAUGAGAAAGGAAAACAAGACCUCAGUGGGCGCAUUAAAGUGAGUCCUGAAACAAAUAAAAAUAUCAAGAGGGGCCAGAGUCUUGACAAUCUCAGCAGAGUGACCCCUGAAGUGAGCAGAAGUAACUCAGGUUCCAAAGACCUUGAUAACCUCAUCCAAGUGAAUCCAAGAACAGACAAAAGUGUGCAAGGGGGCCAAAGUGUUGACAGCCUCAUCAAGGUGGCUCCUGAAACAAACAGAACUAACCAAAGGAACCAAGACCUGAACAAUCUUAUCAAAGUGACCCCCUCAGCAAACAAAAGAAAUCAAGAACUCAACAAGCUCAUCAAAGUGAAUCCUGAAACUCUCACCAACAAUCAGAGAAACCAGGAUCUCGAUACCCUCAUCAGAGUGAACCCCUCAGCGGUCCGAGGCAGUCAGAGCCAAGGCUUGGACAAUCUUAUUAAAGUGCAACCGUCCGCUCUCAGGAACACAGCACGAGAUCAGGACCUGGAAAAAUUAAUUGAAGUAAAUUCUAAUGUACCCAAAAAUAAGAAUGGAAGGCUAGAAGGCCAACCAAUGGAUUGACUGACGCUCCCAACAACCGGUCCACCAGAACGACUACCCAUUCUUAUGAAGCUAGAAGAAUUUCAGUUCCAAUGCUGACACCGGGCCUGCAGGACCAAAGGAUACUGUUGUGUACACGAGAACAUAUGUGGAGAACAGUAAAUCACCAAAGGAUGGCUACCAGGAGAACAUUUCUGGAAAAUACAUACAGACUGUUUAUUCAACUUCAGAUAGGUCUGUCAUUGAAAGAGAUAUGUGCACCUACUGCCGAAAGCCCUUGGGCACAAAAACCAAAAUGAUUUUAGAUGAAUUACAAAUUUGCUGCCAUUCCACUUGCUUCAAGUGUGAAAUAUGCCAACGGCCUUUGGAAAACCUUAGAGCGGGAGACAGUAUUUGGAUUUAUCAACGGACAAUACACUGUGAACCUUGCUACUCCAAAGUUGUGGCAAAGUGGAUUCAAUAAUUCUGGCACAUGGAAAUCAAGAUGAAAGCAUUCAUUAAAGAAUUAAAAAAUUUUAUUUUAAGAAUAUGUGAUUUAGAAAAGCUUUUACUCUGAAGAUUGACUUUUGUAUACAAUGAACAAUUCUGCUAUUGCAUAAAUAACAUAAUUGCCUUCAAAAAGGUCAUAUACAUAAAGGGAACCAUCUGUUAUCUGGAUAGAUUCAGUCAUCAAAAAUUCAAGUGGUUUCAGUUACCAAUGUCAAAGGAAUGAUGCUCCUGAUGGCUGUGAGCAUCGUCACCCCAAGCAGGUCCACCCCUGCUCCAUUAAGCUGUGCAUCAUGAUUUCUAUUAUAAACACAUUUCUCAUUGUCUCACCUUUGUUUGCCUAAGAAUUUGGAUUUGUGGACAUUAUUGACAAACUGUCAAGAAAGCAAGAUAUGUUUCCUUCAUGUGCAAAAGAAAUGUUGAUAGAAAUUUUCUUAUACAGUUUGGCCAAUAAUAACAUAAAGUCAUAUGGACCUCAGAAAGUCAUUUGAACUUUCUGGUCUCUCUUUUUUAUCUAUAAUAUGAGGGGCAUUGAAAACUGUCCCAAAGGCCCCUUUCUGCUCCUCAAAUUAUUCUAAAGCAAGUUUUUGUUUGCUCUUUAGAAAUAUAUCUGAAUAUGUGUUUGUUAAUCAUUUUGAACUGGAGAGGACAUCUGAACAGCUUAACUUUCGUGUCAUUAUUCAUUUUAUUGCAGAUAUAAUUUUUAAAAACAGAAAGACAUUGGCUUAUGGGUGAUGGGUAAAAUUAUAUGACAUGUAUUUUACGUAUUAUAAUUUGUUAAUUUUUUGCAUGUGUUUCAAAAUCUGGUUAUAUAAAUAAUCUAUGAGGAAAUAAUGGUUAUGGACUACAAAAGACUUGUUCUUUAGCAUGUUACAUCUAUUCAUAUUACAUAGCACUUUAUAUUUACAGAUGGCUUAUGCAAAUAAAAUGAACUAUCAGUGAUACCGAAAUCAUUUUGUGGCGUGUCUAUAAAUAUCAUUCAUUGGCAUUGAUUUUGUCAAUUACAGUGAUCACAAUUUAUUAUAUUCUAUACCACACUGGUUAACUUAAUUAUUUAGCUUCUAAAGCUAUAGCUUUUACUUUCAAAGAGCUUUUCUUCAAGGAAUUGAAAAUCCAGUAAUCAUAUGUGAGGAACUUAGACUAUUGUUAAAAUUGAGAAAUUGAACUUAUAAACUAUUUUAUGUGUACAUAGCAACUGCUUCUUGAAGGAAGGCUUAUGGAACAAUGAGGAGAGGGUGUCAUUUGGGGGAAGUUUAAAGCAGUUGUAAUCAACUGACAUAAAUUAGGGAGAUUAAAAAAGAUAAUCAUGUAUUUUUCAAAUGUUGAUAAAUUUAAAGAAUUAGUCUUCUGUAUGAUGAUUUCAAGCAUCUGCUCUUCUUAGAGACUAGUCCGUGGUUUUAAACACAAAAUGCUUAUCAAAAUUCAGCAAUGUAUAAUUGUUGUCCUGUAAAAAGGAGCCAGGAAAAAACAAUUAAUAAUAAUUUGAUAUUCAUUAAUUCAUGCUUGAUGAGAAGCAGUGGUAAUUGAGCCAUAUGUUUUAUUGUUCCUUAAUUACAUGCUAUCAGAGUGGAUCAAAAGAAAUCAUUUUCUUAGCGUUGGGAAUUCGUGGCAGAAAAGGAUGGAUGGAAUAGUAUCCCUGCCUUUUAUGUAAAGUGUAUUAACAUCUCAAUGCAUUUGUAGUAAUUAAAAAUCAUUUGAAUGCCAUUUUUAAAGUAGUCUACUUUAUAAUGCUUCAUUUAAAAAAAAACCCUAAAAGGAACAUAUUUCUCACUUUUCUGAAGCUGUUUAAUGGACCCUGUCUUCCACUAUAAUGUAUUCAAUUAAGCCAAAAGCUGUUGUAAAAAUGGAAUAAAUACGGAGUGGAGAGA